CUGGAUCCGGAUGGAGAAUGAAGGGGAAGCAGGGGCAUCUUCCCCAAAGGCACGAAGGAGGAAGGCUGCAGAGCAUGUAAUUCUGGGAGACGAUAGGCUCUUCCUUCCCGGGUCCUGGGAAUCAGAGAGCACCUGGCCAUGAUGCUGGCAGGCUGGGAUGGACAGUGGGGAAGAUGGGAUAGGGAGGUGCCCCAGAUAUGGCUGGAAUCCCAGUUCAUGUUUGAAUACUCUGCCCAGAGGGCAGGUGGGUGAGAGAGUGCUGGGAUGUUGACAGCCCUCUGUGACCUUGGUUGAAGAAGCCAAUGGUUUCUUCUUGAGGUGAAAGGUGACCUUCAGUUGGGAAGGGUGUGGGGAGAAGAAGGGUACCACUCGCUUAUAGUUUACAUUAACCUCCCUUUCAGGAUGCCUUCCCUGCCCCCUUCCUCUCCUCUUUCCCGUGAGAGGUUUAUGUGUGGGCGUAGUACCCCACGAUGCCUGGGAGGUGUAUCACCGGUGGAGGUCCAUCCUUCACUGCCUUAUAAAGAUCUGCUUACGGUUUCUUUUCCCAUCUAGACUGUCAGCUUUGAAGGCAUGGACUCCCUCACUGUAACUGGGUUCCUAGUGCCCCACACAGUGCCUAGCAGAGAGUAGCUGCUCGGUGAUGAAGCCCUGCUCCAGCUCCCAGCUGGAGCGCGCUCUCCCGCCGCCAGCGUUCUGGGAAACAAAACAACCCACGUGAUGAUUCCUCCGCAGUCGAGGCCUCUGAGGGGCUACAAGGGCAUCUCCUAUCUGACCUCCUCUGGGAGUCUUCUGGGGGGAAGUUGACAGCACUCUCUCCCACCUCUGAUAUGUACUGUCCACAAGAUUCACCCGGGAUUUCCCUGCUGGUCCAGCGGUUAAGGCUUCGCAAUUUCAGUGCCUCCUCUUCAGGGGGAACGAGUUCGAUCCCUGGUUGGGGAACUAACAUCCCCCAUGCGGUGCGCGGGGGUGGCCAAAACAAACAAACAAACAAACGAAAGCAAACAAAAAAAGAUCUCACUACACCUUCAUGGUGAGGGUUAUUAUUGUUAUUUACUAAUCUGGGAUGGAUGUGUCUUUCUUGGUUGCGUGAGACCCGAGGCUCUUUGGGACCGCAGUGCCCAGCAUGAAGUCUCCUCAGGACAGGCUGGCUGUUGACUAGCUGACGCCUCCAAGUCCUAGUGUCUACGCUUUUGAUGUGGUGGCUCCUCUGGGGCUCUGAUGGCUGAGCGUCGGGAACUGCUGAGUCGGGAUGUCUUGGCGUAAUCGGGUGAAUUGGACACACACGCGAAGGAGCCCGGUCCCAGUGAGGUGAGGCCUGAAUGACCCUGCAGGUCGAGAGAAUGCUUGAGCGGGGAUGUUGCGAAAAUGACCAAGGUCGGUGGGCUCUAUUCAGAAAAACUCUUUGGGCAAGGAAUGUAUGAAAGAGGUUGGAAGGAGAGAAGGGCAGGGCUGGCAGAGGUUGCAGGAGGAUAUCCAGGUGGGAUAGACUUGGCCGUGGGUGAGGAGGCUAAAGCGGCUCUGCCUGCAGGUGAGGGCCCAGGAGGGAGGGGCUUGGGCAAUUGUAAACAUUCCCUGUACACUGCGGGGACUGUGACCAUGGCUCCACAACCCGCUCCCAUCCCUCCCCAAACUCUAGGCCAGGUGGUAUCCUACAUCUCACCGCCAUUUCUAGGCCCAGGCUGACCUGUGCUCCGGCAACAUCACCUGACACCGAGCUCGGGUUGGAUCAGCUUUGCUCUGUACCCUUGCAGUCCUCCCUGGGGCUGCAGCUGCCUUUGAAGUCGAUGGAGAGAAGAUUGGUGAGCUGUCGCCUGAGCCUAGAUCUCCCAGACAUCAGUGAGGGGAGGGGAUCUCCACUUUGAGCCCUUUUUCGGGGGGCUGAGGUGUUGACGCUUUAGUUGUCAGAACUUACGUUUCUCAUCUGUGAACGCAGCGCGAAGCUGACCGAAUUGCCAGCAUCUCUGGGCUGCAGGGUGGCAGCACUGCUCAGCUCCAGGGACCAACCACUCACCAUACUCCUGGAGCACAACUCUAGGUGGCGCCGUUCUCAUAGAAUUUGACGUGCGUGGUCGCCGCAUUCCCCCCCCCCCAAGGUCGCAUGGUGAUGGUGGGCCACCAUCAUGCCCUUUUUGAGUCAGGGUUCUGUUUACCAGUCUAAGCUGGUUAACCUGAGGACCAGGAAUAUUCAUGAGGCUUUGCCCGGGGACAGAGAGAUGAACAAAAUAGUCUCCAAAGUCAUGUCCUCAUGAGACGUGGGCACCAGGAGACCAGAGUGUCUCCCAGACAACAGGUCCACAAAGCAGGGUGCAGUCUGAGGCCAAGUAGCAGGGAAAAGAAAUGACAAACUCCAUCCAUCGGGGAAGGAAAACUGUCUUUCACCCCCAGAUUGAAAAGAAUAACCCACGUGUAAAGACCCAGUGACACUUAGUAGGUCUGCAGUUACCAUGAGGUGAACCAGAAUCAGUGCCGACAUUCCAGUCUCUAGGUUCGGGGUUCUUGGAAGCAGAAAGGCCUAGCCGCCCUGGUGACACUUGUGCAUGGGAAUUUGCUGAAAUCUGAAAUGAGAUCCUGACCCAGAUGGGGGUCAGGAAUUUGUUUCCUUCCCUUUUUCUCCUUCUUAGUUCACUGUUUAGGAUGAAAAAUGACAACCAGAUGAGCAAAAGAAUGAUUAUCAGGAAUGAUAAAUAAUACACUCCAGAUGUGGCCGGAGAGAAAUGCAACCGAAAGCACCACCGCCUCCAAGUAGUCACGUUGGGGCGACCCCCUUCUCCCAACAAGGCCACAAUGACAAAAGUUCUCUAACUCUUCUUAGGGAAUUGUCUUCAGGAAGUGGAGGGGAUGAGGUCAAAACGCACCCACACAGCAACCUGUUUCUAACAACGAUCGGUUAACCUACAUGAAGAACUCUCCAGUUCCAGAAGUUUCCUGGAUGUUUGCUUUCCUGAGGAAAGACCUGGAAGAAGGGGCUGCUGGCCUGCUUUUGAAUCUCGAUCCUUUCCCCUCCUGCCUCACCCAUGGACGCUGCCCUCGUCGUCAAGUAACAAGCUGGAUUCGAAAGGUGGGGAGGAAGGAAGGAGGAGGAUGUGGUGCAGUGGGGAUGAGCCCGGGUGUAGAAGGGUCCCCUGCGGGUCAUAAAUGUUCUCUUGGAGGGUGGGGAGUCCCCGCCUGAGAUUCCUGAUCAUCUCCAUCCUCCAACCCAGAAGGAAGAGAAGGCUAGACUCAAGGAAGAACUUACUCAUUUUCAGUAGCAGAAACAAGCAGCUCCUUCUUCAGAGCUCUGUGAUAGGGCAAGGCCAAUUUCUAUUGACAGCAACGUUGCUCAGAGGCCUUGAAAUGGAAUUGCGGGGAGUGAGGGGACUGUUUCCUCAGGUGCCCUGUUGGUGGGGACAUUGUCACUUGUUGUUCUGGCACAAGGACUCCUGAAAGUGUGCAGUCACACGCGCUGACCUAGCCACUCAGAGCCUAACUGACAAGCGUCUGCAGACACAGGACUGUGCUCCGAGGAGCCUCUGGGGACAGGGCUCUGGGGUCCUCGUGGGUGGAACAAGCCCCCCAGAAGAACAAGCCAGGACACCAUUCAAAGAGGGGAGCUCCGGUGACCCUCCCCGCCGUCCACCACCUCCUCUCACAUGAGCGAACCCCAGCGUUAGGGCACGUUGGAUCCACCCAGCACCACCCCUCACUGGCCGGGAGAACAUAGACUUCCCUUGGGGCCCAGGACUGGAAGAAAUAGGAGUGCAUAUUUAUACUGGGUUGUGAGGGACACAAAGAUAAAAGGACCCAGAGAUCAAAGAGCCCCCAGAAGCUCGGUGUGCAGACCUCUGGGUCUAGGAUUUGUUCUGUAAACAGAUUUCCUUCUCCUUUGGGGAAAACUCACAUGGAGGGAUCCCUCCCUUAGGGCUUGUGGUGGUUCCACGCUGGGGGCAAGGGGACAGCCUGAGGUGGGCCUUGUUGGGACACAGGCCUGCCUCCUGCUGGGGCACAUCUCUGACUGCCCAAGCCGUGCAGAGCUCCACAGAAGAAAGGGACAGGAAAGUUGUGUACAUGCCGUGGUGGGUGAAAGGCAGAACGAGCCCAGAUCAUCCAUUGACAUUUGUGCUUCCAUGCGGCUCCCAGGUCGAGAGGGUUCAGACCUUCCACGACUCAGGGCGCUGGGUUAAGGAGGGUGCGUGGAGAUCCUGAGCUGGGCAGUUCCGGGCCACAGAGAACAAAGGAGCUGGGGGUACAGGCAAACCUCCAUCAGAGAGGUCGUGUGUGUGUGUGUGUGUGUGUGUGUGUGUGUGUGUGUGUGUGAGCCUGUGGGUCAGCAUCCAUCCGUAGGGAGCAGGGAGGGAAAGAGAUGAUGAAGAGAAUAGGAGAAAGAGAAGAAAUAAAAAUGAAGGCACUGAAACAGAGAGAGCAAGCUAACAGACCCACACAAAGAGAGGCAGAGAAACACUGCAGGAGCCUGGGGACCAGGCAGCAGGAGGCGGGGAGGGGAGAGCCUCUGGAGGGUCAGCAGCGAAAACAAUCGGCCAGGCUUCUGCCCGGGAAGGUGGGCAGGAAGGCAGGGAGGGGAAUGGGUGGCAGAGAAAGCCCCCCCCCUUGCCGGGUAGGGCAGAGGAGCUGGAACCUGAGUCUCCCAGCUCCCAAGCAAUCAGCCUUCUCCCCCUGCCCUCGCCCUGAGCCCAGGGCUGAGAUUGACGGGACUGCAGCUUCUCUGGGUCUGGGUGGAUUUGAAUAAUUAAGUCAUCUGGAUUCUUAUGAUUUACCAUUUUCAGUGAUAAAUAGACAGCGCCCAAGCCAGCCAGUUGGCAAAACUCUGGCUGCUAGUUAUAAUUUGUCAAGCUGCCAGUAGAUUCAUGUUUCAUGCUAAUGGAGAGAGACUCAUUGACUGGGGGAGGCGGUGACCCGGUCAGCUCUUUCCUCAGGCACCCCAGAGGUCGAGAGGUCGGGGGGAGAAAGGCCGGGCCGGUAUGGAUUUGCUGUAAGGGUCAGUGUAAUUUUAUAAUAAUUCAGCGGGUACCCACGCUCUCGAAUACACAGAGAGUCAUGUAUGCGGAGAUAUGUUCGGAUCUGUGCACCUGCCCCGCCCAUGCACCUGCUCCAGUGCAGGCGUCUGGGCCCAGUGCACACAAGCCUGGUGCUGAAACACUUGUCCAGCCCCCUCAGCUCACUUGCACAUGUACACCCUGCUGUCACCUUCAGGCAUGCGAUUAUACCAAGGCAAACCUGCAGACCUGCUCAGACACCCAGAGAAACGUAUCUCCCCUCACCGACAAUGCACACCUCAAAGCUGGGAAGAUACCUCUGGGGGACCCCUCUGACCACCACCCCAACCCCUUUAUUUCAGGGCUCUCGUGUCUGCCGUUCCCACUGCACAACUCUUGCUCCUUUUCUAACAGUCUUCCAGUGAGGGAGACAAAUGAGCCCUGGAGCCGUCCUAUUUUCCAACCGGCUGGGUCUGGGUAGCCGGAGUUGGGAAAGCACGGGCUCGGAGACGGGGCAUAUGGAAGGCGGCAAUCAAAAUCCAAACUUUCUUUUCCAUCAGUUCAUUUAUUUAUGUAUUUGUCCACAUGCACUAAAGCCUCACAGUGGCAAGAAUCUCAUUACUGACCGUCAUGAAAAACAGAGGUAGGGACAAUGCUUCGCACAUAGUAGGUACUAAAUAAAUAUCAGUGGCACGAACGGCUGCAGCUACUGGUUGAUUUCUCGACAGAACAAACUACUCAUUUCCCUUCUCUUCCUCCGCCUCAACAAACCUUUAUCAUCAGAGAAGGCCAGAGAAGAGGUGUGGGUCUGGGUGAAGCCCUCCUAUUCCUUGACUUGAGAAAUCUGGGCCUUUGGCGUGAUAAAAAAUGCUAAUUUUAUACCAACAGAAGCCAUCCGGUCUCAAUUUUGACCCCCAAAUGCCCUUAAAAUGGAUCAAUGAGCAAGGGAGGACUGAGGAAGGAGCAUCUGUCCUCCCUCCUGCCCAGAAGAGAAUUUGAAUUUGCUUUGAGUGCGUAGCUUGUGAGCAGGGCCAGAAGCCGCAGCUCAUUACCAUCGGCAACUUUAAGGUUUGGCGGGGGCGUGCGGAAGGAUCAGGGGCCCGAGGAGAAACAUUGCCUUUCCGUGUCCCCCAAAGCCCCUAAAUGAGAGAGAAAAACACAAUAGCGAGCCGAACAGAGCAGAGACCGAGGCAGCAAGGAGAACCCCCAAAGACAGAAGCUGCUUCCAGCGUCAGGCUCAGGCUCGAGGAUGCAGUCGCAGCUCUUGGCUCUGUCCGUGGAGAUUCAAGAUUCCGGAUCCUGCGAAGUGAAUUGGGUUCCCUCCUUCCCAGCGGGGCCAGGCUGGGGUCAAGGAGGCUGCUCUGGGCAGACAGUCUGGAACCCCUCCACCAAGGCCUGGAAUAAGAGGCCUCCCUUCUUUGGCGAGCAGAGGUGGAUGGCGGCGGCAGGCCCGGCUAAUCAGAGGCAUUCCUUGGAGAGACAGCCAAGAGCCAGAACCGACCAGUUUCUCCAUUCAAGGGAAAGAGGACCCCUAAAUGCAUCGGGAAUAGGGAAACAGGCUUUGCUUAUUUAAUAGUUUGAGGCUCUGACCUGGUUUCACUGACGUCAUCCCACCUGCACCAAGGUGAGCUCCUGCAGGCCCUCACUCACCCCGGGAGAGCAACAGCCUUGGGGGCACCAGCAACUCCACCCCUAUGGGCAGGGGCAGGCCGACUGUGGCCUGCAGAUGGGUGAGGUGGGGAAGGAUUUUCUGGGGUAAGCCACGGGAACGUGAGGGCACUAAUCAUGAUUGAUACAGAAGAUGUGUCGCUUCAUCCCGCACUUGAUUAGCAAAGCUUCCUCCCCAUUUUGCCUCUCAUCUUCCGUUCCUAAUAUUUGCAUCCAGGUAAUGAACUCCUGAGGUCAGGGCACAUGUUACCUUGUCUGAAGGUCUCAGAGCAAAGCCUCUGAGUACGAAGACAGUACAAGAGCCCCAGCCUGGACUAGAUGAAGAGGGAGAGAGAAAGAAAAGGAAAAACAGGAAGAAGGAAGG